rnacentral:rRNA from 1 species
AUUCCAGCUCCAAUAGCGUAUAUUAAAGUUGUUGCAGUUAAAAAGCUCGUAGUUGGAUUCCUGGUUAGAGCGGCCGGUCUGGUCCGAAUGGGCUAGUACUUUGAGCUGUCUUUGACCUUCCUUUGGGAGAAUCUGUGUUGUUAUUAAUUUAGCAGUGCAGGGGACCCCAAUCGUUUACUGUGAAAAAAUUAGAGUGUUUAAAGCAGGCAUUUGCUGUGAAUACAUUAGCAUGGAAUAAUAAGAUAGGACUUUGGUGCUAUUUUGUUGGUUUGCACACCAAGGUAAUGAUUAACAGGGACAGUUGGGGGUAUUCGUAUUUAAUUGUCAGAGGUGAAAUUCAUGGAUUUAUGAAAGACGAACUACUGCGAAAGCAUUUACCAAGGAUGUUUUCAUCA